GAACGCUGGCGGCGUGCUUAACACAUGCAAGUCGAGCGGUAAGGCCCUUCGGGGUACACGAGCGGCGAACGGGUGAGUAACACGUGGGUGAUCUGCCUCGCACUCUGGGAUAAGCCUGGGAAACUGGGUCUAAUACCGGAUAUGACCACGGAUCGCAUGGUUUGUGGUGGAAAGAUUUAUCGGUGCGAGAUGGGCCCGCGGCCUAUCAGCUUGUUGGUGGGGUAAUGGCCUACCAAGGCGACGACGGGUAGCCGACCUGAGAGGGUGACCGGCCACACUGGGACUGAGACACGGCCCAGACUCCUACGGGAGGCAGCAGUGGGGAAUAUUGCACAAUGGGCGAAAGCCUGAUGCAGCGACGCCGCGUGAGGGAUGACGGCCUUCGGGUUGUAAACCUCUUUCGACAGGGACGAAGCGCAAGUGACGGUACCUGUAGAAGAAGCACCGGCCAACUACGUGCCAGCAGCCG
rnacentral:rRNA from 1 species